rnacentral:rRNA from 1 species
CCUACGGGUGGCAGCAGUGAGGAAUAUUGGUCAAUGGGCGGAAGCCUGAACCAGCCAAGUAGCGUGCAGGAUGACGGCCCUACGGGUUGUAAACUGCUUUUAUACGGGAAUAACGCGCCUUACGUGUAGGGCUUUGCAUGUACCGUAUGAAUAAGGACCGGCUAAUUCCGUGCCAGCAGCCGCGGUAAUACGGAAGGUCCGGGCGUUAUCCGGAUUUAUUGGGUUUAAAGGGUGCGCAGGCGGAAGAUCAAGUCAGCGGUAAAAUUGAGAGGCUCAACCUCUUCGAGCCGUUGAAACUGGUUUUCUUGAGUGAGCGAGAAGUAUGCGGAAUGCGUGGUGUAGCGGUGAAAUGCAUAGAUAUCACGCAGAACUCCGAUUGCGAAGGCAGCAUACCGGCGCUCAACUGACGCUCAUGCACGAAAGUGUGGGUAUCGAACAGGAUUAGAUACCCUUGUAGUC